GACGAACGCUGGCGGCGUGCUUGACACAUGCAAGUCGAACGGAAAGGCCCUGCUUUUGUGGGGUGCUCGAGUGGCGAACGGGUGAGUAACACGUGAGUAACCUGCCCUUGACUUUGGGAUAACUUCAGGAAACUGGGGCUAAUACCGGAUAGGAGCUCCUGCUGCAUGGUGGGGGUUGGAAAGUUUCGGCGGUUGGGGAUGGACUCGCGGCUUAUCAGCUUGUUGGUGGGGUAGUGGCUUACCAAGGCUUUGACGGGUAGCCGGCCUGAGAGGGUGACCGGCCACAUUGGGACUGAGAUACGGCCCAGACUCCUACGGGAGGCAGCAGUGGGGAAUAUUGCACAAUGGGCGGAAGCCUGAUGCAGCAACGCCGCGUGCGGGAUGACGGCCUUCGGGUUGUAAACCGCUUUCGCCUGUGACGAAGCGUGAGCGACGGUAAUGGGUAAAGAAGCACCGGCUAACUACGUG
rnacentral:rRNA from 1 species